rnacentral:rRNA from 1 species
UACGGAGGGGGCUAGCGUUGUUCGGAAUUACUGGGCGUAAAGCGCGCGUAGGCGGACCUGCAAGUCGGGGGUGAAAGCCCGAGGCUCAACCUCGGAACUGCCUUCGAUACUGCGGGUCUCGAGUCCGGGAGAGGUGAGUGGAAUUCCUAGUGUAGAGGUGAAAUUCGUAGAUAUUAGGAAGAACACCAGUGGCGAAGGCGGCUCACUGGCCCGGUACUGACGCUGAGGUGCGAAAGCGUGGGGAGCAAACAGG